ACAAGUAAUGAUAAAGGUCUUUAUCAAGCUUAUCAGGAUAGAAAUCUUGAUUAAAAAUGUCUUCAUCAAGCUUAUCAGGAUAGCAAUCUUGAUUAAAUUAGAGAGCAAUUAAUAGGAGUGAACCACUAACUAUAGCCAACUUGCACGAAAUGACAAGCAUUUAGUCCAUAUAUAAACUCAUCGACACAAGUAUAUACUUGAUUAUCUCAUACCUUAGACCCCUCAAGCCAUCUGCUCCAUUUUUUUCUCUGUUAACUCGAUCAUCAUCGUAGAACUGUAUUGGAAGUUUCUUAUAACGCAAACCCAUAUCCAAUGGAAGAAGAAAAUAGGCUGCAAAGAUUGACAGGAAUGGCCCGCGAGGAUAUAUUAAACUGGUUUACAUAGACAAGGUGUACGAGAUCUGUGUAUGCUGCAAUAACAUCUCGUGCUGCCGUGCUGCAUACACGGAUCCCGUACACCUUCUCCAUGUAAACCAGUUUAGUAUAUCCACGUGGGCCAUUCCUGUCAAUCUUUGCAGCCUGGUUACUUCUUCCUCUAUUGGAUAUGGGUUAGCAUUAUAAGAAGCUUCCAAUACAGUUCUUCUACGAUGAUACUUCAUUCUAUCGAGUUAAUGGAGAAAAAAAAAUGGAGCAAAUGGCUUGAGGGAUCUAUGGUAUGAGAUAAUCAAGUAUACGUUUAUGUCUAUGGGUUUAUAGAGGGACUGAAUGCUCUCUUAUCAGGAUAGCAAUCUUGAUAGUAGAAGCUGAAAAAUCCUAAGAAAUACCACAAGGGCGUUUCACGAUCUGCUGCCAAGUUAUCAAGGAGACGGAGAAGAAAGAUUGUACCAAAUCUCUUUUGUGCUUGCAAAUAUUCAGCUUAUUCUUAGGGAUGAUAUGCAGAUUCCUUAAGCAGCUUAUCGUUAUAUUGUAGAAAAGAAAAGAAAAAAAAAUGUAACAGAUAAUCUCCUGGACUAAUAAUUUGAAUUCGUGUCUGUUGAACUCUAUGCACCAAA